rnacentral:rRNA from 1 species
AUGAACGCUAGCUACAGGCUUAACACAUGCAAGUCGAGGGGCAGCAUCAUCAAAGCUUGCUUUGAUGGAUGGCGACCGGCGCACGGGUGAGUAACACGUAUCUAACCUGCCGACAACACUGGGAUAGCCUUUCGAAAGAAAGAUUAAUACCGGAUGGCAUAGUUUUCCCGCAUGGGAUAAUUAUUAAAGAAUUUCGGUUGUCGAUGGGGAUGCGUUCCAUUAGAUAGUAGGCGGGGUAACGGCCCACCUAGUCUUCGAUGGAUAGGGGUUCUGAGAGGAAGGUCCCCCACAUUGGAACUGAGACACGGUCCAAACUCCUACGGGAGGCAGCAGUGAGGAAUAUUGGUCAAUGGGCGAGAGCCUGAACCAGCCAAGUAGCGUGAAGGAUGACUGCCCUAUGGGUUGUAAACUUCUUUUAUAAAGGAAUAAAGUCGGGUAUGCAUACCCGUUUGCAUGUACUUUAUGAAUAAGGAUCGGCUAACUCCGUGCCAGCAGCCGCGGUAAUACGGAGGAUCCGAGCGUUAUCCGGAUUUAUUGGGUUUAAAGGGAGCGUAGAUGGAUGUUUAAGUCAGUUGUGAAAGUUUGCGGCUCAACCGUAAAAUUGCAGUUGAUACUGGAUAUCUUGAGUGCAGUUGAGGCAGGCGGAAUUCGUGGUGUAGCGGUGAAAUGCUUAGAUAUCACGAAGAACUCCGAUUGCGAAGGCAGCCUGCUAAGCUGCAACUGACAUUGAGGCUCGAAAGUGUGGGUAUCAAACAGGAUUAGAUACCCUGGUAGUCCACACGGUAAACGAUGAAUACUCGCUGUUUGCGAUAUACAGCAAGCGGCCAAGCGAAAGCGUUAAGUAUUCCACCUGGGGAGUACGCCGGCAACGGUGAAACUCAAAGGAAUUGACGGGGGCCCGCACAAGCGGAGGAACAUGUGGUUUAAUUCGAUGAUACGCGAGGAACCUUACCCGGGCUUAAAUUGCAGAUGAAUUACGGUGAAAGCCGUAAGCCGCAAGGCAUCUGUGAAGGUGCUGCAUGGUUGUCGUCAGCUCGUGCCGUGAGGUGUCGGCUUAAGUGCCAUAACGAGCGCAACCCUUGUUGUCAGUUACUAACAGGUUCCGCUGAGGACUCUGACAAGACUGCCAUCGUAAGAUGUGAGGAAGGUGGGGAUGACGUCAAAUCAGCACGGCCCUUACGUCCGGGGCUACACACGUGUUACAAUGGGGGGUACAGAGGGCCGCUACCACGCGAGUGGAUGCCAAUCCCAAAAACCUCUCUCAGUUCGGACUGGAGUCUGCAACCCGACUCCACGAAGCUGGAUUCGCUAGUAAUCGCGCAUCAGCCACGGCGCGGUGAAUACGUUCCCGGGCCUUGUACACACCGCCCGUCAAGCCAUGGGAGCCGGGGGUACCUGAAGUGCGUAACCGCGAGGAGCGCCCUAGGGUAAAACUGGUGACUGGGGCU